rnacentral:rRNA from 1 species
GACGAACGCUGGCGGCGUGCCUAAUACAUGCAAGUAGAACGCUGAAGAGAGGAGCUUGCUCUUCUUGGAUGAGUUGCGAACGUGUGAGUAACGCGUAGGUAACCUGCCUUGUAGCGGGGGAUAACUAUUGGAAACGAUAGCUAAUACCGCAUAACAAUGGAUGACACAUGUUAUUUAUUUGAAAGGGGCAAUUUCUCCACUACAAGAUGGACCUGCGUUGUAUUAGCUAGUAGGUGAGGUAAUGGCUCACCUAGGCGACGAUACAUAGCCGACCUGAGAGGGGGAUCGGCCACACUGGAACUGAGACACGGCCAAGACUCCUACGGGAGGCAGCAGAAGGGAAUCUUGGCAAUGGGGGCAACCCUGACCGAGCAACGCCGCGUGAGUGAAGAAGGUUUUCGGAUCGUAAAGCUCUGUUGUAAGUCAAGAACGGGUGUGAGAGUGGAAAGUUCACACUGUGACGGUAGCUUACCAGAAAGGGACGGCUAACUACGUG